rnacentral:rRNA from 1 species
GGCCUUUUGAAUUUAAUUUAAGGUCUGACCUGCCCAGUGAUGAAUUUAACGGCCGCGGUAUAUUGACCGUGCAAAGGUAGCAUAAUCAUUAGUCUUUUAAUAGAGGGCUGGAAUGAAUGGUUUAACGAGGAACUAGCUGUCUCAUUUUAUUUGUUUUAGAAUUUAAUUUUUUAGUUAAAAAGCUAAAAUUUUAUUGGAAGACGAGAAGACCCUAUAGAUCUUUAUAUAAUUUUAUUUAUUUAUUUAUAUAUUAAUGUAAUUAUAUUUAAAUUAUAUUUUGUUGGGGUGACAAAAAUAUAUAAUUAACUUUUUCAUUUAUUUACCAUUUAUAUAUGAGUAUUAGAUCCAUUUUUAGUGAUUGUUAGAAUAAGUUACCUUAGGGAUAACAGCGUAAUCCUCCUCCAGAGUUCAUAUUUACAGGAGGGCUUGCGACCUCGAUGUUGGAUUAAGAUAAUAAUUAGGUGUAGCCGCUUAAUAUAUAGGUCUGUUCGACCUUUAAAUUCUU